GACGAACGCUGGCGGCGUGCUUAACACAUGCAAGUCGAACGGAAAGGCCCUGCUUUUGUGGGGUGCUCGAGUGGCGAACGGGUGAGUAACACGUGAGUAACCUGCCCUUGACUUUGGGAUAACUUCAGGAAACUGGGGCUAAUACCGGAUAGGAGCUCCUGCUGCAUGGUGGGGGUUGGAAAGUGUCGGCGGUUGGGGAUGGACUCGCGGCUUAUCAGCUUGUUGGUGGGGUAGUGGCUUACCAAGGCUUUGACGGGUAGCCGGCCUGAGAGGGUGACCGGCCACAAUGGGACUGAGAUACGGACCAGACUCCUACGGGAGGCAGCAGUGGGGAAUAUUGCACAAUGGGCGGGAGCCUGAUGCAGCAACGCCGCGUGCGGGAUGACGGCCUUCGGGGUGUAAACCGCUUUCUCCUGUGACGAAGCGGGAGUGACGGUAAUGGGUAAAGAAGCACCGGCUAACUACGUG
rnacentral:rRNA from 1 species